rnacentral:rRNA from 1 species
GACAGAGGGUGCAAACGUUGUUCGGAAUUACUGGGCGUAAAGCGAGUGUAGGCGGUUUGGUAAGUCGGAUGUGAAAGCCCCGGGCUCAACCCGGGAAGUGCACUCGAUACUGCCAAGCUAGAGUAUCGGAGAGGUUGGUGGAAUUCUCGGUGUAGAGGUGAAAUUCGUAGAUAUCGGGAGGAACACCGGUGGCGAAGGCGGCGACCUGGGUCGACACUGACGCUGAGGCGCGAAAGCGUGGGGAGCAAACAGG